rnacentral:rRNA from 1 species
UACGUAGGGUGCAAGCGUUGUCCGGAAUUAUUGGGCGUAAAGAGCUCGUAGGCGGUUUGUUGCGUCGGCUGUGAAAUCCCGAGGCUCAACCUCGGGUCUGCAGUCGAUACGAGCAAACUAGAGUGUUGCAGGGGAGACUGGAAUUCCUGGUGUAGCGGUGAAAUGCGCAGAUAUCAGGAGGAACACCAGUGGCGAAGGCGAGUCCCUGGACAACACCUGACACUGGAGGCACGAAAGCUAGGGGAGCAAACAGG